rnacentral:rRNA from 1 species
CACGUAGGGCGCAAGCGUUGUCCGGAAUUAUUGGGCGUAAAGCGCACGUAGGCGGCUUGCCAAGUCGGACGUGAAAUCCCUCAGCUCAACUGAGGACGUGCAUCCGAAACUGGCGAGCUUGAGUACUGAAGAGGAUCGCGGAAUUCCCGGUGUAGAGGUGAAAUUCGUAGAUAUCGGGAGGAACACCAGUGGCGAAGGCGGCGAUCUGGGCAGAUACUGACGCUGAGGUGCGAAAGCGUGGGGAGCAAACAGG